AUUGAACGCUGGCGGAAUGCUUUACACAUGCAAGUCGAGCGGCAGCGCGGGGGCAACCCUGGCGGCGAGCGGCGAACGGGUGAGUAACACAUCGGAACGUGUCCUUAAGUGGGGGAUAGCUCGGCGAAAGCCGGAUUAAUACCGCAUAAGCUCUGAGGAGGAAAGCGGGGGAUUCGCAAGGACCUCGCGCUGUUGGAGCGGCCGAUGUCGGAUUAGCUAGUGGUGGGGUAAAGGCUCACCGAAGGCGACGAUCCGUAGCUGGUCUGAGAGGAUGAUCAGCCACACUGGAACUGAGACACGGUCCAGACUCCUAC
rnacentral:rRNA from 1 species